rnacentral:rRNA from 1 species
GACGUAGGAGGCGAGCGUUUGCCGGAUUCAUUGGGCGUAAAGAGCACGCAGGCGGUUUGGCAAGUCGGAUGUGAAAACCCGGAGCUCAACUCCGGACCUGCAUCCGAAACUGCCCGACUAGAGGUAGGUAGGGGAGAUCGGAAUUCCUGGUGUAGCGGUGAAAUGCGUAGAUAUCAGGAGGAACACCUGUGGUGUAGACGGCUUUCUGGACCACUACUGACACUGAGGCACGAAAGCGUGGGGAGCAAACAGG